UACGGGGGGGGCAAGCGUUGUUCGGAAUUACUGGGCGUAAAGGGCUCGUAGGCGGCCAACUAAGUCCGACGUGAAAUCCCCGGGCUCAACCCGGGAACUGCGUCCGAUACUGGCAGGCUUGAAUCCGGGAGAGGGAUGCGGAAUUCCAGGUGUAGCGGUGAAAUGCGUAGAUAUCUGGAGGAACACCGGUGGCGAAGGCGGCAUCCUGGACCGGCAUUGACGCUGAGGCGCGACAGCGUGGGGAGCAAACAGG
rnacentral:rRNA from 1 species